UACGAAGGGGGCUAGCGUUGCUCGGAAUCACUGGGCGUAAAGGGUGCGUAGGCGGGUCUUUAAGUCAGGGGGGAAAUCCUGGAGCUCAACUCCAGAACUGCCUUUGAUACUGAAGAUCUUGAGUUCGGGAGAGGUGAGUGGAACUGCGAGUGUAGAGGUGAAAUUCGUAGAUAUUCGCAAGAACACCAGUGGCGAAGGCGGCUCACUGGCCCGAUACUGAUGCUGAGGCACGAAAGCGUGGGAGCAAACAGG
rnacentral:rRNA from 1 species